rnacentral:rRNA from 1 species
GCGCGUGGUCGAGAGCGGUGUGGAAACACCCCGUCCCAUCCCGAACCGGGUCGUGCCCCACACCAGCGCCGGAGAGUACUGCGCGGGGGACCGCGCGGGAGGCGAGGCCACUGCGCGCA